UUCCUUUAUUACUAUAGUUUUUAAGAGGUAGAUUCUGAAGAAGUAGCACUCAGUAUCAUGGUUUGGACACUGUAUGUAUGUAUGGACUGUCUCGCUGAUAUAUCCACAUGGAUGAAAAAUCACCACCUUCAGCUGAACCUGGCCAAAACGGAACUGAUGGUCUUCCCAGCCAAACAGGUCAUCCACCACAACAUCAAGAUCAAUACUGACUCUUUAUCUCUUGCUCCAUCCAAAACAGCAAGAAACCUCGGGGUCAUUAUUGAUGACCAACUGACCUUCACGGCCCACAUCGCCUCUGUCUCCAGGUCGUGCCGCUUUGCGCUAUACAACAUCCGCAAAAUCAGGCCGUACCUAACCCAGUAUGCCACCCAGCUGCUGGUGCAAACCUUGGUGAGCUCCCGCCUUGACUACUGCAACGCCCUCCUAACGGGCCUGCCGGCUUGCGUGGUGAAACCACUACAGAUGAUCCAGAACGCGGCGGCGCGUCUGGUGUUCAACCAACCGAAAAGGGCACACGUCACCCCGCUACUCAUCGAGCUCCACUGGCUGCCAGUAGCUGCUCGCAUUAAGUUCAAGUCACUUAUGCUUGCCUACAGAGUGCUUACUGGUUCUGCUCCCACCUACCUAAAUGCUCUUGUAAGGGCAAAUGUUACACCCAGGACGCUGCGCUCGUCUAGUGAGCGUCGUUUGGCACUGCCGUCCGUGCAAGCACGGCAAUCCAGACUAUUUUCAUUUGUAGUUCCACGUUGGUGGAACGAACUGCCUAGUACUACCAGAGCAGGGGCGUCCCUCUCUACCUUCAAGAAGCUUUUGAAGACCCAACUCUUCAGAGAGCACCUCCCCUCCUAACUGGCACCUGACUAGCGCUUAACUUGCACUUCAGCAGUUACAUUCCUGCACUUCUUUUUUCCUCUUUUCUAGGUUGUUGUUUUUCUAAUUCUCAUGUAAAGUAGUAUUUAUUGUUACACCAUGCUUUUUUAUUGCUCUUAGCUUGACUGUUCCCUCCCUUGUACGUCGCUUUGGACAAAAGCGUCUGCUAAAUGACUAAAUGUAAAUGUAAAUGUAUGUGGUUUUGUUUAUUGCACGGUGUAAUUUCAUGUGACAUCUGCUUAUCUCAUUACAAACACCUCCAACUUAUAAAUACCUCACAUAAUGGCUGUGGCUGCAAUGAGGUC
rnacentral:lncRNA from 1 species